GCGGCUCUCAUUUUUGAUCCACGAAUGAAGUUUCACUUGGUUUUAAUCGCAGCCUCGUACAGCACAUUCUGUUCCUGAGCUCCGUAUUGACUUUUUCCACAUAUUCCUACCUCAAGCAACAAACACGAACUCGUUUUUACACGGCAUAAACGACGCCUACGGCUACAAGAGCAGACAUUCAGCGACGUGAUCCUCUUUCAAUUCCUAACGACUAUUCUAUUUCCGAAAUCUAUCGACCUUGCUGUAAAUCCAGGGUCACAAGGAGCCCGGAGUCUAUCCCAAGGGACUCGAGGUACGACGCAAGGCAGGGGACACCCUGGAUCCACUGGGUCGAUUUAGAGAUGUAACACAUGUCUUUGGACUGGAGGAGGAAACCAGAAAACCCUGAGGAAACCCCAGGAAGAGCAUGCAAUCUCCAUGCACACAGGGCGGAGUCAGGUAUCAAACCCUCAACAAGGUAGACGUGUUAACCCAUUAGGCCUCUUUGCUCCCAGUGUGGGUUUUCUCACUCACAUGUUCUUGACUGUAAUGAAGCAUUUCUUGUAUGUACAAAAACGUAUAUAUUGUCCAGGUUAUUUGUCCUACGGAGAAAAAAUGACUACUGUACCUUUAAGAGCAGGGAUUAAUGAUUAAUAUGAAGCCCAGCUCAGUUACUCACAUACAGCAUUAGAGAAUAAAUGAACAAAGCUGCGAUUUUAAGACGUGUGACUGCUUCAAUCCCAAAUGCUUUAAAACACACACACACACACACACACACACAGAAGAUAAAAAUAUUUCUGUCCAAAAAAAGAAUUUGAUGUUGUUCUGUUUCCAUCACGGAAGGAUGUCGCAUCAUUCUGUAGAAUCACUCCAGCGCAAUGAUCCAUGUUUUUCAUUCCCUAAUCAAUUCCUCAUUUAGGGAUAAAUUGUGUGUGUGUGUGUGUGUGUGUGCGUGUGCGAAUGUGUGGUCCCCAUCAGGAUAUAAAAACAUGACCCCACCCCACCCCACCCCCCAUACACACACAAGAAGGGUCUUUGUCACUAUUUUUAAAAUUAUUAUUUAUGGACCUCUUUCAAGUAGCAUUUUGCCACUAACUCCCACUCAUCCCUCUGCCCUCCACACUGGCCUACACGUCCUUCAUGGCCAUUUAAAGGAGCCUAAUUGAAAACAUACGUUCGGCGUGAAUGAAUGACUCAGACGGCCGUACUCCCACGCAUGGACACGCGCAUACACACACAUACAUCCACACCACCAGCUUCUCAGAGCCUUUUAAUUGAAGACACUUGUGAACGGAUGUGGGCACGGAUCCAGGACGUAUUCCUGAAAUUCUUGCACUGGAGAUGGAACCAGAUGGACCGAGAACUAAAACCAGCUGGCCAAGGCAAGCGAGGGCUAAAAAAGAGUCAGGACAGGCCUCAGAUGAGUAACUAUUGGGGUCGGGGUUGUGGUAUUUCGACAUCACUCACCCUCGUCACUGAUCAAACACAAGCUUCCUCAGAAGACCAGAAGAUUUGAUGGAAGAAAACCAGAGAACCCAGAGGAAACCCAUGCAAAAGCCCUCAGAAAGAAACCCAAGCUCAUGAUGAAACCCAGGGACCUCGGAGCUGUGGAACACGAUCCAACAUUUUAGCUUCUCAAAAGUUUCUGAACCCUCAGUGGAAAUGUGUAUAAUGUAUAAAAAAAAAAUCCAUGACAAUAGUAAGUAGUAAGCAGUUUGCUGAGCUAAGUGUGGACCAGGGUUAAGCAUUUAAGCCGAACAGCUAAAGUAUUUUAAAAACAAAUCUGAUAAAAAUGAGGUUCAUGAGUGGAUCAUCUUCUCUUAGCCAAUCAGAUGUAGCUGCAUCAAGCUCAUCCAACCAGAGACUAGCUAGAGCGAUAAAGGCGAGUUUUCACACACCUCAACAGGUUUUUCAUUACUGAAUAGAAGGUUCAAGCCCUGGCUCUGCCAAGCUGCCCCCUGUUGACUGUUGUGAUCUCUGACCAUGUGCUCUGACCCCAACUUUCAUUGUGCUCAAAUGUAUGUGUGACAAA